GCGCGGGUGGGUGCUGACGGCAGGGAGGGGCGUGUGGGAGGCCUGGGCUGCGAACUCGAGUCGACCGCCCACUCCUCGCAGUCCCGGACGGAGGAGGUGUGGGAAGGCACGCGCAGAGGAGUCACGAAGGAGCUUCUGGCGGGGGGUGGUGACGGGUGGCGGUAUCCUUCCUCCCUGGUACAGGGGUCCCAGGGAGAGUCACCUCUAGGGGCUUCCAGGGCGUGUGGGCCCGGCCCCCCCCCCAGGGCGUGUGGGGGUGGACGGGGGUCCACGCGGGCCCAGGGGGUGAAGAGAAACGCGCUCGUUAGAGAAUUCCGCGGCCUACACGCCGCCCCCUAACUAAAAUAGAGAGAUGGUAGAUUUCCCCUGGGCGGACAGGUGUCAGCAUGUGCCUUUCAGUGUCAACCCGCGUGUGGCUGAUUGGUGAGAUACAAGUCUUGUGAAAUUCAAACGUGAAACUUGUGAAAUCCAAAGUGUUUUAUUAAUGGCCACCAGCGAGCCAUGAUCAAGGUGGAGCCUUCCAGCGAAACCAACGAUUGGCUCGUUGGCAGGUACACCCAAGGGAGGCUUCAUACCUUGAGGUGACUUAGAUGGUGUUCUGGAGAUACGCAGGCCCACUUGGGGACCUGGGCCCUUCCGUUGGGACUGUAAAUAAAAAUAAAAGGUGGGCCAGA
ensembl:lncRNA novel transcript